rnacentral:rRNA from 1 species
AACGAACGCUGGCGGCAGGCCUAACACAUGCAAGUCGAGCGAGACCUUCGGGUCUAGCGGCGGACGGGUGAGUAACGCGUGGGAACGUGCCCUUUGGUACGGAAUAGCCCCGGGAAACUGGGAGUAAUACCGUAUAAGCUCUUCGGAGGAAAGAUUUAUCGCCAAAGGAUCGGCCCGCGUUGGAUUAGGUAGUUGGUGGGGUAAUGGCCUACCAAGCCGACGAUCCAUAGCUGGUUUGAGAGGAUGAUCAGCCACACUGGGACUGAGACACGGCCCAGACUCCUACGGGAGGCAGCAGUGGGGAAUCUUAGACAAUGGGGGAAACCCUGAUCUAGCCAUGCCGCGUGAUCGAUGAAGGCCUUAGGGGUUGUAAAAGAUCUUUCAGGUGGGAAGAUAAUGACUGUACCACCAGAAGAAGCCCCGGCUAACUCCGUG